rnacentral:rRNA from 1 species
AAGUCGUAACAAGGUUUCCGUAGGUGAACCUGCGGAAGGAUCAUUAUUGAAAUAAUCCUGAUGGGUUGUUGCUGGCUCUCUAGGGAGCAUGUGCACACCUUGUCAUCUUUAUAUCUCCACCUGUGCACAUUUUGUAGACCUUUUCAGGUCUAUGUUGCUUCAUUUACCCCAAUGUAUGUUAAUAGAAUGUUGUGCCUAUAUAAUAUAUACAACUUUCAGCAACGGAUCUCUUGGCUCUCGCAUCGAUGAAGAACGCAGCGAAAUGCGAUAAGUAAUGUGAAUUGCAGAAUUCAGUGAAUCAUCGAAUCUUUGAACGCACCUUGCGCUCCUUGGUAUUCCGAGGAGCAUGCCUGUUUGAGUGUCAUUAAUAUAUCAACCUUCUCUUGUUGAGUGGUUUGGAUGUGGGGGUUUGCUGGGCUCUUAAAGGGUUCAGCUCUCCUGAAAUGCAUUAGCAGGACAACCCUUGUUCAUUGGUGUGAUAACUAUCUACGCUAUUGAAUAUGAGGGGCAGUUCAGCUUUCUAACAGUCCUUGGACAAAUUCAUCAUUAAUGUGACCUCAAAUCAGGUAGGACUACCCGCUGAACUUAA